rnacentral:rRNA from 1 species
UACGGAGGGUGCAAGCGUUAUCCGGAUUCACUGGGUUUAAAGGGUGCGUAGGCGGACAGGUAAGUCAGUGGUGAAAUCUCUGGGCUUAACUCAGAAACUGCCGUUGAUACUAUUUGUCUUGAAUAUCUUGGAGGUAAGCGGAAUAUGUCAUGUAGCGGUGAAAUGCUUAGAUAUGACAUAGAACACCAAUUGCGUAGGCAGCUUACUACACGAUCAUUGACGCUGAGGCACGAAAGCGUGGGGGAGCAAACAGG